ACUUAAAAAUCUAUUGGGUUGAUUUACAAAUAUUCGAGCUUGAGAGAGAGGGGGGCUUUUGAUUUUAUAAAUUGUGGAAUGAAUAAACAAUGACAAACUGCUGUAGUAAAACUAUAAACAAAAAUGCUUUAAACAAAAAUUAAUUUCUAGGCACUCAAUUUUAUGCUUAUUUUCGGAAGGGAUAUAUAGAAUGCAUAGCAAGAGCACAUUUGAUCAUCCAUGAGGUUGAAUCCAAAAGGUUACUGGUUGUGAAUGGGAGAAAGAUUGGUAUAAGUGUAAUAAUCGAUCAGUAUACCAACAUUUACACUUACCUCAAUUUUUCUUCCAUUCAAAACCAGCACGAUGUUAGAUUUCAACUUCAUGGAUGAACAAUAUGCUCUUGUUUUGGAUUCCAACGAGCCAAGGUAGACUCCAACCGAGUCCCAAGGGACAUUCUUCGCCAUGUAUUCCUCCACUGCUUCAUUUGAAGCUUUAUAUAAAUGUUUUAAUUUUGCCUCGUCUUCUAAAUGAUUCAACAUCUUAGUCGCGCCCUCCAUGUUGUAGUUGUGGCAUGCAACCGUAAGUGUAUCUGAUCUUACAAUCUUGAAUUGAUGAGGUUUGCUGAUCCAUCCGCGGGAGGUUAUUCUUGAAUCGGUUACGAUAACAAUCGUAUUAUAUAAAUCCAAUAGAAUAUUAGUAGUUCCGUGUUCUCGUAGAAGGCCUAAAAAAGUUCGAAAAUCCUUCUCUAAAUCAUUAGCAAUGGUGAUUACUUGUGUCGAAGUUUCUUUUUCUUUUUGUGCUCCACUCUCUUUAUAAAGCAUGUUAACAAAAUAAAGAAUAAGAGUACAAAGCAUAUCUCAUAAAUAAAGAGUAAAAGCAUAACCUCAUACAUAUACAUAACAAAACAAUUCUGCUGUAAUAUAAUAUUAGCUAAUGAAUUAAACCCUCCAUCGCUCUAACCCUAAACUACCCGCCAAAGCCCCCCUCGCUCCCUUCUCAACCCCAAAGCCCUCUCUCUCAAACACAGUGAUAAACCGUAACUGCCCACAAAGCCCAGUCCCUUCCUCUCUCUGACAAAGCCAUGAACUGCCGACUGAAAGCCAAAUCAAAGGCCAAGUCCCUGGUGGGAUCAGUAUCCUGGAAUUGGAAGAAUUCAGCCCAAGCGCCAAAGCUCCUAGGGUUUAUAUAAUAGCAGCUAGAUGUAUUGUGGUUAGCUGGGUAGAAUUCUGAACAAAUUUCGCAGGAGUGCAUUCAAACGGAUUUUCUGUAGACAUGGUUGCAGAGUUCAUAGCAGCGGAACUCCACUCGGAGUGAUUGCCAUUUCUGAACCCGUCACAUGAAGGCAUGUGAUGCAAGAUCAGCCUGUAUGAAGGUCAGUUGAAAUUCUAAGUUAGCUAAGAAAGUCGUAUCAUACAGUGCAAUGUGCAUAGCUGAUAACUGCAUGUGCAUCAUCCGAGCUAACUGUAGGCAAAAUGCCAGUUUUUAAAGAAAAACAAAAAUGUGAACCGCUCCGGAGACCGAAGAGUAAGGGUUUGGUUGUAAGCUUGUACAAAACCAGUGGCCUAACAAAAUAAUAAGAAGGUUUCUUUAGCUAAAAUGGUCAUUGAGAUUUGUCUAACUUCUCACUUUGGUCUUUGAGAUUUGAAAUCAAUGGAAGUAGUCCAUGACCAUCAAUCAUUUUCGUCAUUUGGUGAAAAAUUAUGUAAAUAAUGAUCAUAAUAACAAAAUUACCCUCAAUAUAAUAAACAAUAGGUCAAAAUGAUUUGGCAAAAUUUGAGGAUAUUUUUGUCAUUUUAUUCUUAUUUUAUGGAGAUUUUCAUGGAAUAACCAAAAUGAUUGAUUGUGGAAAAAUUUAGGGACAAAUUCUAUCGAUUUCAAAUCUCAGGGACCAAAGCGCGGAGUUAUGCAAAUCUCAAAUACCAUUUUAACUAAAAAGUAUAACAAGAAAUCCAUAAGGGGUUUGGUUGUAAGCUUGUACAAAACCAGUUUUAAAUUUUUAAUAUUUUCUUUUUCUAUGGAAUUAUAAAUACUAUCUUUAUUGUUUAAAUAAUUAGUUAUAAGGGUAAAGUUAUCAAUUUAUCAGUAAAAAUUUGACCAAAAAGGUUAUGUAAAAGUGAAUUAAAAAUUGAGGAGUGCUAGUGUAAGGUCUCAAACUUAAAUUUAUGAAAUCGCCUAUAAACCUCAGGGGUGUUAGUGUAAUUAUCAAACCCCAAAAGUUAGUAUAUAAGGGAAACCUCUUAUCCCUCUAACCAAUAAACUACCAGCCAAAGCCCCCCUCCCUCCCUUCUCAAUCUCGCUGUGGCCCAAAUCUAACCUCAAAGCCCUCGCUGGCUCUCUCUCUGAAUAGCCAUGAACCGUCGACUGACAGCAAAAUCAAAGGCCAAGCUCCGCAUGGGACCAGGAUUCUAGCAGGUGAUGAACUCAGCCCAAGAGCCGAAGCUCCUAGAUAAGAAGAAAGAGGAAAAUGCUGUUGAAGACACUUUGACUGAACUCAACGUCUAACUUGAGGAUACAACUUCAGAGAAGAAAACUUGUGAGCCUGAGAAAUGUGUCAACAAAGUUUGUCGUGUUUGCCUCAAGGUUGGCCACUGGACUUGUGAGUGCUCCUACCUCCGUCGUGUCCCAGCUGGCGUAACUGAGGUUGGCAAGGGCUAUGUAAUAGUUUGUUUGCGUUGUCCUUCAGUGCGUAACAGGUGCAAGCAUAAUAUCGGCCGUGCUGUUUACGUGUAUUGUUAUAUAUGUAAAGUGUGGGGUCAGCACAUCACUGGUGAGUGUUCGAAGAUCCCAAGACGAACGAAGGAGGAUACAAAGGAAAAUGCGUUGAACCUGUAUCUCAAAUGAUAUGAUCCUGCUGAAGCGGAGGAUUGGGAUGUACGAAUGCUGGAGCAGUUGUAUCGUCUAGGGACGUUAUUUCAUGGUAGUUGCUUAAUUUUCUCUCUAUUUUCUUUAGUUUGGGC